rnacentral:lncRNA from 1 species
GGUACUACACUUCCCAGUCUUUAACCCUUGUGGCUUUGUAGUUCUUUGCAUGUUCCGUAAUAUAAGAAGAAUCUAGAGAUUUAUGCAAUUUUCUUCAUUGUCAUGUGCAGUCAUUUGGAGCAGACAGAAAAGAACUCAAAGUCACACUUACUUAAACCUUGUUCCGUAGGAGAUGAAGGUUCUCAAUAAAUGCACUCACAAUUCUCGAGUCUUGCUACCAAAUCAUUUCUGGUUUACAUUUUCAUUUCAAGUGAACAGCCAUUGCUUUUUGCUUAAGCUUUUUUGCCAUUUUUAAAUACACUUCAACAACAUUGUUACUGACACAGAAGCAAUAAGCUUUGGAUCUUAUGAGUCUUUCUCUAUGUGUGAAUGAUAAGAGAAGCAAGAAGAGAGCAGUUCAGAAAAUAUCUCAUCUUCUUUGUAUGUGUUAAAAAGGAUCGUGACGUGUGAGUUCAAAAAUCAUCAAGAACCCGUGUUUAAUAUCGUCAUCUACAACUACAAAUGACAUAUUUAAAGUUAGAAUAGACAAAUGGAGACAGAUGGUAGCAAUAAAGCCUCAUGAAUUCUUAUUAUCUUUGCUUCUACUACAAGUCCUUUUUUCUAUCACACACCAAAUCCUACUGAACCGGUAAACUUAAUGACGCACUCACUCUUUUAGUUUUCUUGUGACUACUAAUCACCAAUAAGAAACGUUGAUUCAUUCUCUUUUUUCUUUCUUAACCCGGUAUUUGUUUCUCCAUAUAUAUACAUUGGUGGUGUGAAAUAAAAACAUGGGUUGCUCAAGGACUCAAUCAUUUGUUGUUUUCUGAGAAAUACUACUCUCUUUAAGAAACUCUAUCUUGCAUGUAAUUAUUUUCUCUAUGCUGUAAGAAACGGUUAUGUAUACUGAUUUAGCCAGAGUGGAUCAUGCCAUGAUUAACAAGCUUCUAGUGAUAAUUCUAAUAAAGUUUACUUUGGUUGACGCUAAUAUUCUAGUGGAGUUUGAGGUAAACCUACAUGUUUAGUUCAGGCUUCAACCAAUUUGUUGCACUUUAGCCACCAAAACCCAAAACAUCUUGGAUAUGAGUUUUGGAUCUUGUGAAUUAAAUCACAAAGCAUAUUGGAUUCUUAUGAACCAUCCUCUACAUAGUGAUAAGACCAAACAAACCAUUGCGUUUUCUUGCAGAUCCUUGAGAAGGACACUUUACAAUAUCAUGGUCACUCUAUAUACACUUCAACAUUUGUGAUUGACACGAAGCAAAUAUCAAUCUUUCUCUUUGAGAAGAAGCAAGAAGAGAGCAGUUAAGAAAAGAUCACCAUCUUCUUUGUCUGAUAAAAGAAUGUCGACACGUGAAGACAAAAUCAUCAAGGACCCGUGUUUAAUUAGUUAUCUACAACUACAAAUGACACAUUAAAAUUUUAAAAACUUAUAAAUGAAAAAAGGAACCUACUUCUUCGUCGGUAGCAAUAAAACCAUAUGAAUGCUCAUGUCCCUACCACCUAACUUCAAUUAUUGUUGCUUUUACUACAAGUCCCUUUCUCAUCCUCCACAUCAACACACCAAACCCUAACGAACCGGUAAAUUCAAUGACGCACUCAACUCUUUUUUUUUCCUUGCUUUUCUUAAUAUAUAAUUUGGAUUUCUUGUAACUACUAAUCACUAUCAAGUAACGUUGAUUCAUUCUCCCUUUCUUUAAUCCGACAUUUGGUUUUCUAUAGGCCUUUAGGAACCUACCUAACCAUACUUAGUUUGACAAGUUUAUAGAGUGUUCCAGUGUCUAACAAUUCAAGAAUAUUCCAAACGUAUUCGACGAAAAUCUUAAAUCGUGUUCUCUUCUCAGUUCUCAUACCCUAGAAAAAGUCCGAAGCACAUCACAUAGAAAGUGAAUAUAUAUAAAUUUUCUAUAUAUUAUAUGGCUACGUCGAGCAAGAGCUGCACUACCCAAUGGGAAUAUUCGCUAUAAUUGGCUCAGUAGUCGCUACCAGCAGCCCCAUUUUAAAAUACAAACAAGAGAACAAAAUUUAAUUUAAUAUCCUAAAUGAAAUCUUGCCGACAAAAGAUUUAUCCUAAUAAAAUUUCGGAUUUAUGUCUUUCUUUUUUUCUUUCAGCUAAAAUAUAUAUUUGCCCUUUUUUAACUACGAAUGAAUGCACACGAGCGGUGAAACGCAUAAAACCAGAAUGAUAACCUUUUUUGGUAAUAUUUCUAUAAAUUGUGUUUUCUCAAUGCUUUGAUCUGUCAACAAGUUUUACAGCUUUAAUUCUUGAUUCCUUUGUUUUCGGUCCUUGGCUUCUCUGAAAUGGAACAUAAUACAAUAUGACUCUUUGAGCAUAUUUGUUAGCAACGCAUCUAUAAGCAUAUAUUUGAAUAUUAUAAUCGAUUCUGCACCUAGUGAUUUGACCCAACAAACCGUCGCUAUUAACUUUGCAGGUCCUUGAGAUGGACACCUACAGAUACCACGGUCACUCUAUGUCUGACCCAGGAAGUACCUACCGUACACGUGACGAAGUCUCCGGCGUGAGACAGGUUAGUUCUUUGUUUCAUUUGUAAGAACACUGCUCCAAAGCGUCAGAAAAUUUUAAUAUGUAAAUUUUUCAUUGGUGGUGUUACCUUUUAGGUGCGUGAUCCUAUUGAAAGGGUGCGGAAGUUGCUCUUAUCUCAUGACAUAGCUACAGAAAAAGAGCUCAAGGUACUCUUUUUUCUCCACCUUCACAUCCUCCACAUACAAACAUAAUCAUCAUUUCCAUAUGCAAAUGACAAUCCUCUCUUGACUUAAAAGGACAUGGAGAAAGAAGUGAGGAAAGAAGUAGAUGACGCCGUAGCUCAGGCCAAGGUAAUAUAAUCUCAUGGCUCUUUCUACCUUUGUCUUUGUUAUUCAUAUAUCAAAAGCAUUUAUACAAAUCCCUAUUCGUUAAAAUUGUUUCAGGAGAGCCCCGUACCAGAGCCAUCUGAGCUAUUCACAAACAUGUACGUCAAAGACUGCGGAGUUGAGGUACUACACUUCCCAGUCUUUAACCCUUGUGGCUUUGUAGUUCUUUGCAUGUUCCGUAAUAUAAGAAGAAUCUAGAGAUUUAUGCAAUUUUCUUCAUUGUCAUGUGCAGUCAUUUGGAGCAGACAGAAAAGAACUCAAAGUCACACUUACUUAAACCUUGUUCCGUAGGAGAUGAAGGUUCUCAAUAAAUGCACUCACAAUUCUCGAGUCUUGCUACCAAAUCAUUUCUGGUUUACAUUUUCAUUUCAAGUGAACAGCCAUUGCUUUUUGCUUAAGCUUUUUUGCCAUUUUUAAAUACACUUCAAC